CCAUUCUUAACCAAACAAGAAAUAACAGUUCCUUUCCUUUCUUCUGCGUCAAUAAAUAAAUACCCUUCUAAAUUCCAUUUCCACUGUUGAUAAAUUUGAUUUGGGUGGACUGACAGACUUUAUUGAACCCAUGCAGCAGGCAUCAUCACUGUUUGGUACAAGGCCUCUCCCGGCUCCCAAUCCCAUCACCGGACUCACUGUAAAGUCUCUCUACACGCAUCCCGAUUCAAUGGCGGCGACUUCUACUGCUCCCAAAUGGGCCCAGAAGACUAUCACUCUUCCUCCACAACGCCGAGGCUGUCAUCUUAUCACCCCCAAAAUCGUAAAGGAAAUUGGGCAAGACUUGUCAGGAUUUAAGUGUGGCCUUGCUCAUCUUUUUUUGCAACACACAAGUGCUUCUCUAACUAUAAAUGAGAAUUAUGAUUCUGAUGUCCGAGAUGAUACCGAGACAUUCCUUAACAGGGUAGUUCCAGAGGGAAUGUCUGCACCAUGGAAGCAUACAAUGGAAGGUCCAGAUGACAUGCCAGCACACAUCAAGUCAUCAAUGUUUGGUUGCGCACUCACGAUUCCAAUUACAAAUGGACAGCUUAACAUGGGAACUUGGCAGGUCUAUAUGUAGAAGUUAAAAAGCAUUCUCUUGGUUUGCAUUAAACACCAUGGAGAGGCUCAGCUAAGCCAUUACCUUUGCAACUUGGAAGUAAUUUCACAUGGUAGGAGAGUAACCAUUACCUUCGAACUUGGAAGCAAUUUCACAAGGGGAUAUGGCUGUGUGAGCAUCGUGACUCAGCUACUGCGCGCAGAGUUGUGGUCACCCUAAAUGGAAUUUGAGUUGCUAAAAUUAAGACUCUCUCUGUGUGAAUGUAAUAAAGUAAUACCUAGGUAAUUUCCAUGUUAAAAAAUUAUCUUAACUGAUACAUUUGUUCGAGAUACUCUUGAUCUGUUGGGAGGAAAAGGUUUGUGUGAGUUUGACAUCUGAAUUAUGUCAAAAGCUAUAACAGGAUAUGCAGAAUUAUUAGGUUGACUAAAUUGAUGAAAAUAAGUUUUUAAUUGUGAA